rnacentral:rRNA from 1 species
CGGCGCCUACGGGAGGCAGCAGUGAGGAAUAUUGGUCAAUGGACGCAAGUCUGAACCAGCCAAGCAGCGUGCAGGAUGACGGCCCUCCGGGUUGUAAACUGCUUUUAGUUGGGAAUAAAAGGGUGCUCGUGAGCCCCGUAUUGUAUGUACCAUCAGAAAAAGGACCGGCUAAUUCCGUGCCAGCAGCCGCGGUAAUACGGAAGGUCCGGGCGUUUUCCGGAUUUAUUGGGUUUAAAGGGAGCGUAGGCCGGCUUUUAAGUCAGCUGUGAAAGUCCGCGGCUCAACCGUGGUACUGCAGUU